rnacentral:rRNA from 1 species
UACGGGGGGGGGCAAGCGUUGUUCGGAAUUACUGGGCGUAAAGGGCGCGUAGGCGGUUUGCUAAGUUGAAUGUGAAAACUCUGGGCUUAACCCAGAGCCUGCAUUCAAUACUGGCAGGCUGGAGUUCUGGAGGGGAUAGCGGAAUUCCUGGUGUAGCGGUGAAAUGCGUAGAUAUGCGGAGGAACACCGAUGGCGAAGGCAAUCCCCUGGGCCUGCACUGACGCUCAUGCACGAAGGCGUGGGGAGCAAACAGG